GCGCUGGUGGUCUAGCUGGUUAUGAUAUGGGCUUGCCAAGCCUAUGACUCGGGUUCGAAUCCCGACCAGCGCA
rnacentral:tRNA from 1 species